UACGUAGGGGGCGAGCGUUGUCCGGAGUUACUGGGCGUAAAGGGCAUGCAGGCGGUCGGACGCGUUUCGGGUGACAGCGGGUGGCUUAACUACCCGAGUGGUCGAAAGACGGUUUGACUUGAGGACGCGAGAGGGACACGGAAUUCCGGGUGGAGUGGUGAAAUGCGUAGAGAUCCAGAGGAACACCGAAGGCGAAGGCAGUGUCCUGGCGCGUAACUGACGCUGAGGUGCGAAAGCCAGGGGAGCGAACGGG
rnacentral:rRNA from 1 species